GCUUGCUUGGGAGGAGGGUUAGAACUUGCCAUGGCUUGCCAUGCAAGGAUAUCAGCUCCUGGUGCACAGUUAGGUUUGCCUGAGCUGCAACUCGGUGUUAUUCCUGGGUUUGGAGGAACACAGCGUCUUCCACGUCUUGUCGGUCUCACAAAAAGCCCUUGAAAUGAUUUUG